UUGGAGGGCAAGUCUGGUGCCAGCAGCCGCGGUAAUUCCAGCUCCAAUAGCGUAUAUUAAAGUUGUUGCAGUUAAAAAGCUCGUAGUUGAAUUUCGGGGUUAGUAGGUUGGUCAUGCCACUGGUAUGUACUGGUCUCACUGAUUCCUCCUUCCUGAUGAGACGUAAUGCCAUUAAUUUGGUGUUGCGAGGAAUCUGGACUGUUACUUUGAAAAAAUUAGAGUGUUUAAAGCAGGCUAACGCUUGAAUACAUUAGCAUGGAAUAAUGAAAUAGGACGUUCGAUCUUAUUUUGUUGGUUUCUAGGAUUGACGUAAUGAUUAAUAGGGAUAGUUGGGGGCAUUAGUAUUCAAUUGUCAGAGGUGAAAUUCUUGGAUUUAUUGAAGACUAACUACUGCGAAAGCAUUUGCCAAGGAUGUUUUCAUUAAUCAAGAACGCAAGUCAGGGGAUCGAAGACGAUCAGAUACCGUCGUAGUCUUAACCAUAAACUAUGCCGACUAGGGAUCGGAUGAUGUUAAUUUUUUAAUGACUCAUUCGGCGCCUUACGGGAAA
rnacentral:rRNA from 1 species